rnacentral:rRNA from 1 species
AUUGAACGCUGGCGGCAUGCCUUACACAUGCAAGUCGAACGGUAACAGGUCUUCGGAUGCUGACGAGUGGCGAACGGGUGAGUAAUACAUCGGAACGUGCCCGAUCGUGGGGGAUAACGAAGCGAAAGCGUUGCUAAUACCGCAUAAGAUCUACGGAUGAAAGCAGGGGACCGGAAGGCCUUGUGCGAACGAAGCGGCCGAUGGCAGAUUAGGUAGUUGGUGGGAUAAAAGCUUACCAAGCCGACGAUCUGUAGCUGGUCUGAGAGGACGACCAGCCACACUGGGACUGAGACACGGCCCAGACUCCUACGGGAGGCAGCAGUGGGGAAUUUUGGACAAUGGGCGAAAGCCUGAUCCAGCCAUGCCGCGUGCAGGAUGAAGGCCUUCGGGUUGUAAACUGCGUUUGUACGGAACGAAAAGACUCUUUCUAAUAAAGAGGGUCCAUGACGGUACCGUAAGAAUAAGCACCGGCUAACUACGUGCCAGCCGCCGCAGUAACAC